CUAUAUUGCAUUUAUGUGCAUGAGUAGGCGUACUCCCCUGCUCAUGCAGGUGCCAUUGAAGGACUGGAAUGCUAUCUUUACAAGAAAUGAAGCCUUGCAGAUGUGGCCAUGUGGGUACAUUCUGGAGUCAUGCACAUCUGCCCUGGAUAAAACUAGGCAUGCAGAAUCGCAGGUGUACCUGUUUGGGGAACCUGUGUUAUGGAGCAACUAUCUGCACAAAGACGAUAGCUCGAUAGCCACAUGUUGUGCCCAGUGGCAGUGAUCAAUCUUGUUCGUGGCCCAUGACCGGACCUGCGCAUGGCAUUCACAUAGAUGCUUCUGUGGUCCAUUAUGUUGAUUUGGAUUUCAUUAUCUAAAAAAUGUUGAUUUGGAUUUGUGAUGCAGCAGUCCCCGUCUCCCUACAGUGGUUUGAUGCAUCAUGCAUCUGCCCUGUAUUCCAUUACGGUGUAACAUUAGCGCUUGGCGGUGGUUGAGCAGCAGAGCCAUCUGGUUCAUCUCAUGCAUGGAUUAUGUCAGUUAGGUGCUAUGAUUUGGGGAGGGUUUGGAAAUGGCCUAGUACGGCGAGUUACGGUUGUAUAGCUGGAAAUGGACAGGGAUUGAGUAGGAGCGAGAAAAAAAAAACGCGUAAUAUAAGAAGGAAAUGAUGCUGUGGAGCUUGUGGGUCAGUAUCUACUAGGCUGUGGAUCAGUCGAUCUUGCAUUUUUACAAUGCUUGGACAUACUAGAAAAGUUGUAAUGGUUGGACUAGGAAUAUUCUUCAUGGCCCAUUUCGUGGAUAACAGCUUAACCUCCAUUUUGUGGCAA